rnacentral:rRNA from 1 species
AAACCAGCACCUCAAGUGGUCAGGAUGAUUAUUGGGCCUAAAGCAUCCGUAGCCGGCUCUGUAAGUUUUCGGUUAAAUCCGUACGCUCAACGUACAGGCUGCCGGGAAUACUGCAGAGCUAGGGAGUGGGAGAGGUAGACGGUACUCGGGAGGAAGUGGUAAAAUGCUUUGAUCUCUCGAUGACCACCUGUGGCGAAGGCGGUCUACCAGAACACGUCCGACGGUGAGGGAUGAAAGCUGGGGGAGCAAACCGGAUUAGAUACCCUAGUAGUCC